rnacentral:tRNA from 1 species
GCACUGGUAGUUCCGUGGUAGAAUUCUUGCCUCUCAUGCUGGAGACCUAGGUUCGAUUCCUGGCCAUUACA